CGCUUACAAUAGGCUUCCCGUAGUAUGCACUGCUGCUUGCUGUUCUGCCCGCUGUCGACCAGCAACUGUACAGUAUGCCCGAUGGCCGAUCUGCCCGUACACAUGGGGGCAGCGUACACUGUGUACGACCGUUGUGUGUGCGUUUCGUACACGUUGGCGUGCUCUCUCUCUUUCUCGCAGCGUACCACUCACGAGCAGGGCACUCAUUAUAUUAUUUGUGUUGUGUGUGUAUGUGUGUAGUUGGGUCGAUAUGCGAGCAAAAGCGCGCGCGCGCACUCGCCUCUAUCAUUGAAUGUGCUUGAAUACACACAUACACACUCACAUUAGACCGUUACAAAGGCACGCUGGAACGCGUAAGCAACCAACUGGACGCGUAGCGUUCCACCAGAAGCGCAAGAGGGAGUAUGAACAAAAGCGCUCAUUUCACUGAAACGUGAAAAAACGCGUUUCACUCGCGCCAUUUUACACUUCCGUCAUUUCUCUGUAUGCGUUCGCCUCUUCAUUGGGGUAACUCAUAUUCUCACCGUGUCUCAACAACCCUUUUCGCCGAAAGAUGCGACAGACGAAAAAAAAUCAGUGAAGAAAGUAAAAUUCUCAUCUCACCGACAAGGCUGGCUCUGGCCGACACGAUUUCGCUCUCUCAUCGUACAGAGGCCUGAAGGAAUCCGCGUGUGCAUACGCACACAGUAGCAGCGGCAGCUGCUGCUGGAUGAAUUCCCACCUUCAUCCUUUCACCCGCCUUUACUCUGUUUGACGGUGUGUGACAUUGCAGAAUUGAAGCAAUUUGGUGCAAACAUUGUUUUACUUUCUCUCGCCGCGUUUGCUCAGGGGCUGGGUUUUCCGUCCAACAGAUCAUGAGAGGGACACACAAGCGCGCAAUAGCCUGUCGGAAAUUCGUUUGAAUACUUUUGUUCUAAACGCGAUAGUCAAAGACUUUGGAAUAGGGAAAGGGGGGGCUAAAAGUUUUGAAGCAAUUGUACCACACCACACCACCAAGGUGAGCGCAGUGUGAGUGAGAGUUACUUUACUGCAAUGUUACGACUGCAAUGGACAAAUGUUUCUGCUUGCGUUGAAAGAAAAAAUGAAAAUAUAAAGUAUUUUUGACGAAAUAUUCAUUCUUAAACAUGUCAUUCAAACACUUGGAAAAAAAUAUUAAAGUUUUAUUUCUUAUUAAUAUAAUUUCUUUUGAUACUUCGUAAGCCAGCCUUUGUUUCUCUAUGAAUGAGAUACUAAAAAAAAAAAAAAAUCAUUUGUGUAACCCUCGUUGAAUGCAAAUCAUUAACAGAAUGAAUCAAUCCUAAAAUGAUGGUAGUUUGCAAGCAGGAAAUGUUGUCGAGGAAUUGAAUUUCCUUUCUUUUGGUAUAUGAUAAGCCAUAUUAUGAUUGAUAUUUAAUUAAAUAUAGCAAGAAACCAAAAUUUCACGUUCAUUUUCACUCGAGCUGUAACCCGAGUGCACUCGCUGUAAGGAAGCCAGCGAUCGUCGUGCGCACUAACAGAACAUGCGCGCGCGCACUAACUGCAGAAUGCGGCAAAGGUGUGGUGGUGUGUUUACUGAACUCAUUUCGCCGGUCGCCACAUUCUGCCAGGCUAGUAGUAUUUAUUACUAAACGGAUAUACAAAUCGUGAGAGAGAGAGAGAGAGAGAGAGAGAGAGAGAGAGAGAGAGAGAGAGAGAGAAAGAAAAAGGAGAACCACCGAGUCGGCGCGUUCGCAACACCAUUGGCACGUCACUAGCGCCAUCAGUACGUUACUCUUGCGCGUGACAGCGCUGGCCAAACGGAAAAUACAGGUAUACCCCGAUAUACGCUAUUAAUGCGGAGCGGAGGCAAUAGCGUGCCUCGAAUAUUAGCGUAAGUCCAAUUUCGAGGAUUUCAGUCAAAUUAUAUCAAAUUUUCGUAUAAUUUUGCUUGAAGUGGUAGGUUUUAGCCAAUAAAUUAGUUAUGUGAUCUGAUUUCAAUUGAUGAUUGCAAUUUUCUACUUGAAAUGGUAUUUAAAAUUCCAUCAAAAGGGAAAUUAUGUUGCAUUUAACAUUCGAUUUGUCAAACAAGUACAAUUUGCUUAAAGCACUGCGUUUAGAAAAUAUCGUACAGCGAAAUCGCGUAUAUCGGGGAAUUCCUGUAGAUGGCAAACAAAAUAAAACGGAUAACCGUUGAUCUUUCUACCUCAUCACUCUCCAUUACUCCUAUUCUACUACUACCACCACACAGCUACUCCAUACAUAUUACUACACCAUUUGCCGACUUGUUCCUUAGAAUAGGUUUGUGUUCUGUUGGUUUUGUGGUUUGGUUUGUUUAUCGUUGACGUUGUUUUUGUUGUCAGUUUAGAUAAAACUACUGCUAAGUAGCAAAAUGCGCGCACACACACCCUCAUACAACACACAAUAGGGCGUGUGGAGUACGUUCGUUCCUGGUUAGUUUUGUUGAUGUUUGGCUUAAGCCUACAAGAGCGCGCCUGUGUUCUUUUUCCCACUACUUUGGUUAUGUUUCUUAAGUACAGGUUCCUUUGAGCAAGAUUAUCAAAACACACACACACACACACAUGUGUGGGUCCCACACGCUAUUGCGAAAAGCCAGUUUCUUUAGUGCUCGAAAUGCUAGUAAAGUUGCGAAGGUGUUGGAAACAACGGUUGAUCUGAUGGCAGACGGGCUAAAGGUAGCAGGAUAUGGUUGGUCCCAGCAUCUCUAUUCAUCCGCAUACUACACACAUACACACACACACACACACACACACACACACACACAACUCACGAAACAAGUGUCAUUCUACACGCCACACAAGCGCACACAAACAGUAUACAGCGGGACGGGAGUUAGAAUUUCCAAUCAAGUCCUAGGACCAACACAUAUGGGGGUGGGGUGAAGCAGCUUAAGCCACAGCACUGCUAUAGUACUACUACCACCACCACACACAUUUAUUAUUUCUUGUUCCUUUUUAUAGUACCCCCUGUUGCUGUUGUGGCUGCUGCUGUUUUGGAAAGGUAACUUGAUUGGCUUUUUCUGCGGCGACCGCUUGCCUCGAGGUUUUGUUUUCUUGCUCUCCUGCACGCACAACAACGACAGUACAAAAAAAAGACCGUACAUACACACACAUACACACUGUCUAUUGCCCUACUACAGCAUGCGAUAGCGCAAACUGCUGCUGCUGCUGGCUAAGCCUGGCGCUUAUGGUACGUUUGGGUUGCGCGUUUUCGCUGGUCGCUGUCGCUUGGUAUGAUACACUUCACUCACCGUGCGGUAGGAAAA